UACGGGGGGGGCAAGCGUUGUUCGGAAUUACUGGGCGUAAAGGGCUCGUAGGCGGCCAACUAAGUCAGACGUGAAAUCCCUCGGCUUAACCGGGGAACUGCAUCUGAUACUGGAUGGCUUGAGUUCGGGAGAGGGAUGCGGAAUUCCAGGUGUAGCGGUGAAAUGCGUAGAUAUCUGGAAGAACACCAGUGGCGAAAGCGGCUCUCUGGGGACCAUCUGACGCUGAGGCGCGAAAGCGUGGGGAGCGAACCGG
rnacentral:rRNA from 1 species